rnacentral:lncRNA from 1 species
GCGUCUCUUUCUGGGCCGUGGAGCUGUCCGCUCUGAAACCUGAGGAAGUCGUAGUUCAGGGAGGGGUAGCUCUUGCACCUAGGCCGUUAGGAACGAGUUUUAGGUUCGAAUCCCAUCUUAUGGAAGGUGGUAUUGGUCCCUUGGGUGUCCCACCCGUCUCAGCCAAACUGCGGGCCAUUUCCCGGGGCGAGCAAGGGGAGUUACCGCGCCAGUGGGUGGACUCGCCGCCUCUCGGAGUCGGGAGGAAGUCGAGCUGGGGUGCAGUUACGAGUCUCAGUUAAUAAUGAAUAGGGUGGCCAAUGGUGGGCCAGGCACAGUGGCUCACGCCUGUAAUCCCAGCACUUUGGGAGGCCGAGGCGGGCGGAUCACGAGGUUAGGAGAUAAGAGACCAGCCUGGCUAAUAUGGUGAAACCUCGUCUUUACUAAAAAUAAAAAAAUUAGCUGGGCAUGGUGGCGGGCGCCUGUAGUCCCGGCUACUCGGGAGGCUGUGGCAGGAGAAUCGCUUGAACCGAGGAGGCAGAGGUUGCAGUGAGCCGACAUCGCGCCACUGCACUCCAGCAUGGCGACAAAGCGAGACUACGUCUCAAACAAACAAACAAACAAACAAACAAAAAAAACAAAAAGAAAAGGAAAAAAAAGGGUGGCCAAUAUAGUGAAACCCCCUCUCUACUAAAAAUACAAAAAUUAGCUGGGCGUGGUGGCGCGCGCCUGUAGUCCCAGCUACUCGGGAGGCUGAGGCAGAAGAAUCGCUUGAAGCCGGGAGGCAAAGGUUGCAGUGACCCGAGAUUGCGCUACUGCACUCCAGCCUGGGCGACAGAGCGAGGUUCCGUCUCGAAAAAAAAAACAACGAAAAGGGGACUCACUUCGGAGAAGCUGCCCUCUCUGCAAACUUAUUUGAGUAAGGGACUGAAGACUGAAGUUAGGGAGAGGAAAGGGAUACACGUCUGUUAGUGCGAGUUGCGUGUCUUGUUAGUGCGAACUGGAACCCAAGUUUCCUUUGGGAAGACUUUGGCGAAAGAGUACAGGAACACCAGCCACUCCAGAAAGAGACCGCUCCUCUUGAACCCGCCCACUUAACUCCUCCCGCAGGCUCUACGUUCGAAUGCCUCCACCCUGAUUUUAGAAGGUUAUAGGCGCACAAUCAAGGAAAUGUCGACAGAGGGCGUCCUUGCUCUAAGCAGCAUUGUCCACCUGCUUCCUGAGCGGGGUUCAGUGAUUAUUCUCUGAACCUGGACUUCUGGCGUUGUGCCUCUAUACUCCAUUUCCCUGCUUCAAAGCUCUCCUAAUUGACUUUAUUUUCUGACACUCCCCCACUUUACCCCCCAGGAGUGUUGCUUCUUUUAUUUCUUUGCCUGGAUGGUCGUUUGGCUUAGUAAAUAGACCUAGACCCCACCCCAUGGUGUAGAAGCAGUUGGUGAACUUCUAUAAAGGGCCAGACAGUACACAUUUUAGGCUCUGCGAUCUCCUUAUGGUUGAAAGUUCUACUGUUGUAGCACAAAAUCAGCCUUGGACAGUAAGCAAAUAGGUGUGGCUGUGUUCCAACAAAACUUCACUGAAAUUUGAAUUUCACUGUAAUUUUCACGUGUCACGAAAUAUUUUAACCGUUUAAAAAUGUAAAAAUAAUGUGUGUGUGUGUGCGCGCGCGUGUUAGCUUGGGCCGCCAGCUAGCAGUAGUUUGCCAAUUCUUGGUAGAGAAAGAGAGCAGUCUCCACCUAGGUCUGGGAAUUCAGGGAGAGAGGUGCUGGCCAAAAUAACAGUUCAUGGCCUGCUUUUCUAGAUCUGGGAGUGAGUAGGACUACUACUAGACUCUCAUUUGACCUCUCCUUUGGGAAUCGCAGGGUAUAUAGUGCCCACUGAUUGGUGGGAAUUUUGUCAAGGUGGGUGUGAUAAUCUGGCUUCUUUCCCUUCCCAGCUCUUUAUAGUCUUUCUUUCUUUUUUAUCGUUCUCUCCCUCUCUCUCUUUAGAGAUGUGGUCUUGCUAUGUUGCCCGGGCUGAGUGCAGUGACUAUUCACAGGCCGGAUCUAGUGCACUGCAGUCUUGAACUCCUGGCUUACAGUCCUGCUGGUUCUGAGAGGCAGGGGAAGAAACGGCCACCAUGCUCUGCAGCUAGGUCUCAGCAUGAGGACCAAGAACCCUGGUGUUCCUCCACUCAUCGGAGCCGUAUCAUUUUGGUGCAUUGGCCAGGAAAGGAAAUUCAAUCAUGAGACUGGUGAGUAUGGAGCGGAUUUCAACUUUAUAUCUGUUCUUUAGUCUCAAGGCUCUCUUCCAGCUACCCUGUCGCCAAAACUUUCUUUCUAUCUGUGGUCUCUCUGUGUGUCUAAUGUGCAGGAUUCUGUCUGUUAGAAAAGAUCGUGAAUCACGGCAUGCAGUAACUCAAUAAGUGUCUCUCUCUCUCUCUACGUUUUCUCUGGCAAGCACAUGGUAUUUCUAAGCCACCUAGUAGAAAUCAGGCUGUAGGCCUCUUCUAAGAAUGGGAAGUUUCUGCUUUUAACAGUUAGGAGUAGGAUGUCUUCCAUGGCCAAAUUUUAGUCUCAAUAUUGUCCCACUGGCAGGAAAACGGCCAUUCAGUUCCUAUGUUCCUUUAAGCCAUCUAUUCUGGCUCCUACUAAGACAGUGCUUAAUUAGUAAGGGGAUUUUAAGUCCAGAAGUUAACCGGAACCAUUCUUCUAUGGGUAAAUGCUUUAGCAUGGGCUAUAAUGGCAGGAUAUAGAGUUCAAUCUAUCACAUCCCCUCCCUUAAAGGGUCUCUUCCCAAUUACAUGGUUUUUCUUCAAAUCCAUUUUUUGGGAGGCACACAGGCCACCCAAGUCUAGGAGGUCAAAGGUAAAUAAAAGGCAGAGAACUGAUUGCUUGGGAACAGCGUGA